UGCGCAGGCGGGCUUGUAAGUCAGUGGUGAAAUACUGCCGCUUAACGGUAGAACUGCCAUUGAUACUGCAAGUCUUGAAUAUGGUUGAGGUAGGCGGAAUGUGUUGUGUAGCGGUGAAAUGCAUAGAUAUGACACAGAACGCCGAUUGCGAAGGCAGCUUACUAAGCCAUAACUGACGCUGAGGCACGAAAGCGUGGGGAGCGAACAGGAUUAGAUACCCUGGUAGUCC
rnacentral:rRNA from 1 species